UUACUAAAAAAUUAAUAGUUAUUUUCUUUAAAUUUAAAAAAUUUGGCGGUAUUUUAGUCUUAUUAGAGGAACCUGUUUUUUAAUUGAUAAUCCACGAUUUAUUUUACUUAUUUUUUAAAUUCAUAUAUCGCUGUCAUGAAUAUAUUUAAAAAUUUAAUUUCUUUAAUUAAUAUUAAAAUUUAUGUUAAGUCAAGAUGUGGUUUAUAAAUAAGUUAUUAAUGGGUUACAAUAAAUUUUAUUUUUGGAUUUAUAAUUGAAAUUUGUAUAAUGAAAUUGGAUUUAAUAGUAAAAUUAAUUAUUUUAUUAAUAUGAAUAAAGAUCUAAAAUAUGUACAUAUUGCCCGUCAUUCUUAUAAAAAAUAAGACAAGUCGUAACAAAGUAAAUGUACUGGAAAGUGUAUUUAGAAAGAAAAUAUUAUAAA
rnacentral:rRNA from 1 species